rnacentral:ncRNA from 1 species
ACGUUCAUCCUUGAACUGAGGACGGAAGUAAGCUAAAAGCUGAAGGAACGCAC